ACAGAAUAAUGAGUUACGAGUUUCCAAAAUGUAAUGGAGCCCUGGAGCUGCUUCAUCUUUGUCCUUGAAACUUCUGAAAUGCCUGAAUCAAGCCUGGGCUCACUUCCAAAUGUGAAACUGUGGGAUUCCUGCACUCCUACAUAUGAGACCCAGACUGAACUCAAAGGACUGACCAGUUUACCUCCCCAACCAGACUACUUUCUUCAUAGUGCACAAUUGAAAUUGGAGUACACUCGGGUUUCCUUACUUUGAAAAAGCUCAGAAGGAGCAUUUACAUCUCCUAGUGAAAGACUGCAGAAUGGAGUUGAAAUUAAGUUAUUAGAGUUCACGAUUUGUCUUGGCCCAGAGCCUAAUCCAGUUUAUAAUCCAAGAUCUAUGUUGGAGUCUCUGCAUCAGGAGUUAGAGACUCGGCUGUCUCUCAGUGGACCUUCUUUAAACUCCUCGCAGGAUGUAUGUGCCAUGUCCCGCUUCACUGCCUGCUAUGCAGCCUUUCAAAAGAAGGCUUCCUCUACCACAUAUCCCAAUCUUGCCAUCAUCCAACACCUGAACCAACAUGAGACAUUGUGCAGUAUGAAGGGGUCUCUGUACUAAGCUGAAUCUACAGCUGUAUAUACUAAAUAUUUGGCACUGCCAGCUCUUAAUCAGUUUUCCAUGGAAAUAAAUCAGAGGCAUUGCUUUGGGAGCAACCUACAUGGAACUACACGUCUUACUGCUGCAAUUCAUAAACAGAAUAUUGACAAAUUCCUCAGAUUAUAAUUAUAACGAUCUGAAAAAUCAAAUGGCAAGAGUUUGAGAUGGGACUAGUUCACAUGUUGGAGUUGAAGUCAAAGAAGUCUGGACAAAUGGUGCUGAGUCAUGUAUAUAAUAAUUUCUUCAACAACUGCUUCCCAUAUUUGCAUGUUCAACUUUGCUAGGGAAACUUUUCUCAGUAUAUUUCAUGGACUCAGAUGUCAGAUCAAGGGAGAAACAUUCACUACAACCAGAGGUUACAGAGCUUAACAGACCUACAAAUUAACUUCAAGCUGUCGUUUGGUCUUAGAUAUGGUGAGCUUAAGCUUAUGGUCUUUUUUAAUUUAGAAAGACUAACAGGGAAAAAUGACAUGCAGAGUGACAGUCUUACAGAACUCUAGGAAUGGAUAUUUUAUAUGUUGAAACUAUGUCUGUACCAUUUUGAAUAAAGGCAAUUAUAUUCAUAUCUGGCUGAAAAUUAACCUGUAAUCUGCUAGGAUGUGAUGUGUAUAUUGAACAACUGCUAGGGGCAAAGAUCUGAAGUUUUUGUUGUUUGCAGAGAUCAUAUCUAGCUCUUCUGUGCCUCUAAUUCUAAACUUCUUGCACCUUGAGUACUGCAUUCAGUUUUGGGCCCCUAACUACAAGAAAGACAUUGAGGCCUAAGGAAUCUGGAGCACAAAUCUUAUGGAGAGCAGCUGAGGGAACUGGGGUUGUAUAGUCUGGAGAAGAGGAGGUUCAGGAGAGACCUUAUCGCUCUCUACAUCUACCUGAAGGGAGGUCGUGACAAGGUGAGUAUUGGCCUCUUCUGCUGCAUAACUACUGAUAGGCUGAGAGGGAAUGGCCUCAAGUUGCACCAGGGGAGAUACAGGUUGGAUAAUAGGAAAAAUUUAUUCUCUGAAAGUGUGGUCAGGUACUAGAAUGGGCUGCCCAGGGAGGUGAUUGAGACACCGUCUCCAGAGAUGUUCAAGAAAUGUUUAGAUGCUGGGGCAUGGUUUAGUGGGGAAAUAUUGGUGGUAGGUGGAUGGUUGGACUUGAUGAUCUUGGAGGUCUUUUCCAACUUUGGUGAUUCUAUGAUUCUGUGAUUCUAAAAGAACAGUUGCUGCAGUUUUCCCAAAUCUUUAAAAACUUGAGGUGGACUAUGAAGAAUGUAAAAUUGACUUUGAAUAGAUUUCAAUGGAGAAUGCAGUGAUAUGUUUGCCAAAUACUAAAUGUGAAAGUGUUAUGUUGAAAUCUCACAUGGAAAUACAUAUAACAAUGUGAAAACUGUGAAGGAAUCAUUAGUAUAUUUAGCAUUUAAUAUAUUUUUUCAGGCUCUCUGUCAAUAUUUUGGAUGUUAUUUAGAGUUCUUUUAAUAUUAUUAUUUUUUUAAUGAAGAAAUUACACCUCGGAGUGAGAAGUGUAUUUAGUACAUGAUUUUGGGGUUUCACUUGCUGCACAAAGCUUAAUUAAUGGUUCAGAAAAAACAGACUUUCUCUGCUCCGGCAAAGAAUUAACCUGAGUUUUGAGAAAAGAGUUUAAUAGAGCGGUACAAAAUACUACUUCAGUAUUCCUUCCCAACCAGUUAUUUGUGCAGAUGUGAAUUAACGAACUGUUAUAAAAGUGGUGUGAUUUCUGUCUUCUCAUUUAAAGAGCGAUGAUGGCCAACAUUUCUUAUAGUGCUUUACCAUUAAGAAAUAUUAGUGUACUAAUUAAAAAUCAUUGCAUAACUUUUAAGAAUAAACUUCUUAAAAUUAUUAGGAAAGGUGGAACUUUAUUCCUUGUGAAAAAGAAGCAUGAUUGUUCUUCCUCAGACAUUAUCUGAAUCUGCUAGAACUGCUCACAUCAGAAAGACCAAUGGCUGGAAAUGUUGAUAUUACUAGAAGUACUGUCAUAGAUGUUUAGAGAAAUGUAAUUGUUUACUUAUAAGCAUUUGUUUAUACAUUCUGCUGUAGUUGAAGUUAUAUCACAAUAUUUCUGCAGAAACAAAUUUUGAUGUCUGAAACUAGAGUUCUGUUUCCUUUCUAUGGCAAGAUUCUAGGUAUUGAUACUAGUCUCACUGGGUGUCAUGAAAUCACGAAUCUUUCUUUCUGGACGUAUGCAUCAGGUAGGCAUUUAAUUGGCAUUUCUCUUUAAAAAAAAGUAGCUGCCUUAAUGUCUAAUGACUGAUUUGCCCUUCAUGAUACAUAAAUUGGUAGUAGCUUUUUUUUAUAUACAAAGAAAUACUCAUUCCCAUAGAGAAACCUUUUUCUCUUUCCUGAAUGAAAUGACACAGAUCUACAGUUUUCUGAGCCAAGCUUAUAAAAGGUUGUUACAAACGGAGCACAAUUGUGGGAGGUAGGGAUCUCAAAUUCUAAUUUAGGCAUUCUUUGAGGUAAAGAACUUGUGAUGCUCACUUUCAACUGUCCGAACACUCUUAUGUUUUUGAGAUAUAGGCUAACAUAGAGACUAGGAGGCAUAUAAGCUUAUAUGAUUCUCUGUACAGGGUUAGAUAUCAUUCAGUUUUGCUAUUGCUUUGUGUUUGUAAAUGUUUUAAAAUAUAAUGCCUUGUGUAAGAGCUAAAUCUUUUCAUAGCUUAAGUAGUUCUAGUAAAAUAGCAGAUUUUCCCUAAUCAUUUUAAUUACAAAAAGCAAUUGAUAAUCUCUCUCUUCUUUGGACAGAGAGAGCUUUUGAUUUACAUUUCUGUGCAUCUCAUUCUUUUUCUGAAAGCCUGUGUACACUACAAAAAAUUGAAAUAUUUUUCUUCAUAGGAGCAGCAUACAUAUAGGCACACAGAAACUUCAGUGUCAUUAUGGCUCUAUCCUUUUGAAAGCCUACUUUAAAAAAAAAUAAGGACCUAGUAUUUCUAAAGUCCUUAAGAAGGGAAAGAAGCUGCUGCAGACUUAGUUGAAGUGGUAUGACAGUAUUCCAUUACACAUUUGCCAUUUGAUUCUCCUGAGUAAAGCUUCACUAUAAUUGAACUCUACAUGUUUUGCACUUUGUGAACUCAACUGGUACCUCAUGCUUUUCUGAAGGAUGUAAAUGUAUUUAAACACUCACAGGUUAUGCAGUUUGUGAAAAUGGUACCGAACAGCUAUCUAUGGAUGUACUCUAGAAUAUUUGUGUUUCAGAUCAUCUCAUACUUUGCUGCUUCAUAGCAAAUAUGUAGGAGGGGCAUGAAGGGAUGAUAAAUACAUAGCAGAGAAGCUCAGCGAAAUCUUUCCAUUGGCAUUUAGCACUGAGACUCCAACACCUGAUGCACUUCUGUAGUAGAUAGACUAGAAUAUGUAGGUCAGUUUGAAGUAACUACAUCAAAAGUAUUGCUUCAGUCAGGCAUAUUAGACAGACUAGACUUGACUCAGUGUCAAGUGGUGGACAAUAAGCCACCAAAAUUUUGGACAUGUUUAGAAAAGUUAGUGAGAUUAUUCUUAGAAACAAAGAACACCCGAAUGGAGAGUACAGAGUACAUAACUGGUGUACCCAUACCCUGAGUCUCAUGUGUAGUUUGGUCUAGAUAUCUAAGGAAGGGUGUAGCAGAGUUGAAAGAAGUGUGGAGAAAAACAAGUAAAAUAUUUGAAGUGAUAGAGCAGAUGCCUUCUGUAGACACACUAAAAAGCUGGGAGACUUAAUUUAGAAGCAGAGAAGGCUGUGGGAGAAUAUGACAGAAGGUAGAUAAGUCAUAAACUGAAUACACAGAAUUUGUUCACAAAAUACCACAAUAUUAGGCCCCUGGGAACUUGAAAUCAGUUGAGGUUUUAUUUAAAGCUGGUGAAAUGAAGUUCUUUACACAGUGAACUUCAGAAACUGGGGUCAUUGGAGAAGGUGGAAGCAGCCAGUACUGGAAGGUUUAUGAAGGGGUAAAGCUCUCACAAAUGAGCCCUUAACCCUUUUAAGGCUGGGCAGAGUUGUAUCAACUGACAAUAUUCAUAAAACCAUUCUGUACACUGAGGAUGCGUAUAAGGGGAUUGAACUGCAGAAAGUGGCCAAGUUAUGUGCUCUCUUUGAAUGUCAACUAUUGAAUAUUGCACGAGUACACUCUUUCCUCUGAAGGAAAUUUACUAAGUAUCCUCAUUUUUGUCCAGCCAAAGAGUUUUGCAUGUGGUUUCUUUCAGAGUAUGUCCAAACUGCUCUUUAAACAAGACUGAAAUUUUUGUGUCUUUAUGAAUGAGGAUUGAAUAUUCCUUUGCAAUACCCAGGCUACCUCAUCCAGUGUGGAAGUAUUGAAUGAUUCCUAUGCAGAAAACAAAACAGCAUACAGGUUCUGCUAAGUCUGAUCAAGAAACAAUGAGGUGAUAUGUCCUGAAAAAUUCAGUCAUUGCUAAGAAUUCAGUACAAUUCGUUCAAAAUAGUGGAAUUAGUGAUAUCUUGACUGAAUGGAGAAAGAAACUUGUACGGUUUUGUUUCUGCAGACAGUAAGAUAAGUAACAGUUAUGGACUAACAUCACUGGUAGCAAUGUACAGCAAAUUAAUGAGAAAGCAAAGUGUCAACAGACUUCUGGGCAUACAAUAAUAACAAACAUAGUAGAAGAGGAAUCCAAUAUCACAUCUUAUGCCAUUUACUUAUUUGCCAACUUACGUUUCCACAGGCCACUGAAAGCAAUAGCCGCUUGGUUAUGGCAGAAGGUUACAUAUUAUAAAAUAUUUUAGUGCUUCUUUCCAGAGUCAGAAGUACAUAUAUAAAUGAAUUAGAGAAUUAAUAGAAGGGUGCAGGAAACCUUAAAAUCCUUGCUUCUAAGAGAUUAUAGUGAAAAAUAAUAAACAGAUAUCAAAGAGAAAAGGUGUGUUUGAACUACUUCCACCUGUUAAGUAUAAUAAUCUCUCUUUCAUUUUGAACAGUUUUGAAGCAUCAAACACCUUGUGAAUUUCUUACAUAUCUGGGCUUUGGAAGCCUGAUGUUGUACAGGGUAAAUAUUUAAAUCUUUAAGGUGGGUACUGAUGUGAGUGGAGAAUACAAACAUAACAACUAUGCAUUGCAAUAAAUGAUAAAGUGAGAUUGUUGAGUUUUAGCAGUGCAAGAAUUACAUGACAUUAGCAGUAUCCAAUAGGUCUUGGAUGGAGAAAUCUUAGUAAAGGCUUUCUGUUCAGACAUGGUUUUAUAAGUAACAUACGUUAUUCAGGUGUGGAUAUAUGAUGAGAUUUUUUAGACUGUUGCAUUAUUCCAAUAUUAACUUUAGCAUAUACCUUUGAUAGUGAUAACUCCCAAUUUAUGCAGUGACUAUGGUUAUGGUCAACUGAGUAACCCAUGAAAAGAAUUCCACAUGAUGAUUUAAAAAUAGUCAAAUAUUCUAAUUUUUUUCACAUAAUUAUGUGAAAAAAUAUAUAAAUACAAUUUUAUAUUACUUAAGAAAAUAGUUUUUAUUCAGGAAACUUACAUAAGACACUGAAUGAAUUGAACAUAUAUAUUUUAAUGACAAGCAAACAGCAAUAAAAUUAGGAACACGUUAAAGUUUGUCCUGCAUAUCCCUAAAAGAAUACUGAAAAAUAAUUCAAGAGAAUUGUUUUCUAAAACCUAUUGUGUAUUUGUUUAGAUUUUAUAGAAAAUAAUGAUCACAUGAAGCACACCGCAUCAAUUAGGUUUAUAGAAACAAAACACUGUGUUAAUAGUAAUAUGCAAGUAAAUUAACUGUUAUCUCACACUCUUAAAUGUAUUAGUAGUAAUAUUAAACUUCAGUGUAACUGAAAGUACUGCUAAAUUUAAAGCAAAUAUCUGAUUUUUAAAUUGACAUUAAUUGAAGCCCCAAUCUCUCUCUCCCUACCUCUGUAAUCGAUUAGGUUUGAAUACUUACACAGCAAAUCUCUGAAGUCAUUUCAGACCCAGCGUUUGUGUGCAGAAAACAUUACAUAAGUCAUUUCAAAUACUAAAAAAAAAUAGAGAAAAUUUAAUUGUGGAUUAGAAAAAAUCGUUGAAUAAAUUAUAUUUAUUAUAUUUUCUGAAUGAUUUCCUCUUUAAUAAGCAGACACGCCAGUAGAAAACAGCCAUUGGAAUAUCUAUUAUCUCUUCAUCCUUUUAUCCUCUUGCAAUUCUCUUGGGGAAGCAUACAUGUAUAUGCUGCAUGAAAUGUUAUUAACUGACAUUAAGUCUCUCAUCCCCUUAGGCCGUGGAUUUUUUCCUGCUACUUUACUGACCAUUAAGCAGCUCUUGUGGAUGUGAUCUGGAAAUUAUUGUAUUUAUACCUUAUAGAGCACAUGUAUUAAACCGCUCAUUAGGUUUUGAUAUUACAUGACUUCAUAAGCCUCAUAUGAGCUACAGCAGCAAUUAUGUUUUAGUAUAAUGAUGUGAAAAGGACAAACUAUUGGUUCUUUAAAUGUGUGCCGAAGUCUUUUAAAAUAUUAUCUGUCAUCUCUAAGGUGUCUGUUUUUAACUCUUCUUCAUGUCAUAACUAAGUAUGAUUAAGGACAAAGUAAGACUGCCUGCUUUGAGUGCUGUCAGAAGCCACAGGGAACCUUUUUGCUCCGGCUGACUUGCACUGGUGGAAGGCAAUACUUUGUGGCUUGUGCUUUGAGAGGGAAAAUUAAGAUGGUGCUACAUGUCCAGACAUGCCUCUGAAGAAUGUUGGAAAGUUGACUAUCUAAGUUUGUGCAGCAAAGGAUUUGCUGAUAGAUAGCAUGAGAGGUAGCAUGGUGAGAAGGAAAUUAUACCUAUUGCACAGAUACCUCAGCUGCAUUCUCCACCAAUUAUUUUGAAAAUAUUUUGCUGUUUGUACCCUUCUUCUUUAUAACAGCACCAGCAGAGCACCAACUAGAAUGCAUCUAUCUCCUUCUUACUUUCCAGUUUUUCUCAGGUGUCUUAGAUCAGAAGAUUUCAACCAAUUUUAAUAUUCAUUCUAUUUAAAACAUUGUCUUUUUUUCCCCCAAAUCUUAAAGGCUCAAAACAGUUCCCCAUGGGAAAACUAAAGACUGUACCAACACAAGAAUCUCAUUAUCUUUUGCACCUGCACUUUCUGUCUAUUUUUAUAUUUUAUGAUGCUGCAGUUCUUUCUACAGUCAUACUGACUGCAUUAAAUUAUGUAAAGGCAGAGUCUUGUGACACCUCUGAACCAACAGGCAGGAGAAUACAAAAUCUUUCUUUUGCUCUCACCCUGACUCAAAAUUAAAUUCCAAAAAUUAUAUGCAAAUAAUAUCACCACUCUCAGUUUAAUGAAUGGAAUCAAAGAACGGCAAGGGCAAAGACGUAAGUUUUAUCCUCUGCUAGUACUGAAGAAUUAGCACUAGAAUUAGUAUGAAUUUGCAUUACUAAAUGAUCAUUGAAUGACAUGAUAACUGGGUGCAAUUCAAGUUUGUUAAUAUUUCUAAACGAUAGCAUCGUUUUUUUUGCUUAAGGCUCAGGGCUGAACAAGGAGCACUGACUUCCCUGCCACAGACUUGCAAGGUGACCUUGACAAAUCACAGAACAUAUCUGUACCUCAGUGUGAGACGGGAGAAAUUAAAACAUUUCCUAGCUCACAGAGGCAUUGGUAAAGCUCAGUUAAUCAAAGUCUUUCAAGAUCUUUAGACAGAAUAAUCUAGAUAAGAGCAAAGUAUUAUUAUUCUUACUAAAGAGGACCUCUCCUGAGCACUUAAUUUUUCAUUUUAUACAAACUUUUUUGCUUAUUUACACUGUCAGCAUACAGAGUGAUAGAUCCUUCUGACCUGAUUUGUGUGAAGCUUGUCAAGAUACAGAUGUUUUUAGCACUAUAUCCCUGUUAGGAUAUGACACAAUACAUCAUAACAGCUCCAUCAGAGCCAUUAGGGUGUAAGUUGUCAAUGCAUAAUAAGAUUACUAUGCGUUAUAGCAGGUGGUGCUCAAAUAACACUGAAGCAUGAACACUGUGGUAGCAUCUAGAAUCCCUUUGAAUACUGGUGUUGCAAUACCUUUCUAAUGUAUCUAGCAUUAUCUUUUUGUAGUAAAAUAUUUCUUGUUGUGCAUGAAGAACUAUUUUUUUGGUAAAAUAAGUAACUGUUACAUUUUUGUUGUUUCAGAAAACGUAGAGGUCUACAAAUGUUUCUGUUUGCAAAAGAAGUUGUUUUUGUUUAAAUGAAGGGCAAAGCCUGCCAACAACUCUGUAAAUAUUAGCCAAAUAUGUUCAAAGUUUUACUGUUAGAAAACCAGCCUGUAAGAAGUUUGGAUUCAAAAUGGCUAUUGAAACAGUACUGUCAAAAGGUUCUAUUUAUAGAUUUUAUAUACAUACAUAUAUAAAUAAAUGGAAAAUGUUGUUUUAUGCACAAUAUUAAUGAGUAUAAUUGAGCCUGGAAAAAUGAGACAUUCAAAUAAUUUUAAGUUGGUGUCUGAAAAACUCUGCUGGUUUUCUAUCUAGGAAAGACAUCAAGGAAAAGAAUCAGCAGAACUUGCAGAGAAAGACUCAAUACUGCUAGGUUUGUACCUCCCUGUCAGUAUAACCUAUGAGCAUUACCCAUUCACUGGUGAAUUUAUGCUUCUCAUGCAUUUGUGAAGGAUCUCUUCUUAAGGAGAACUGAAAAACUGGCUUAUUGAGGAUCACGAUAAAGUCUGUAGCAGAACAUAGAGGAAAAGUGAACUUUGCUGAUAUUUUCAUAUCAUCACUAUUAAUCUGUAAUUCAAUGUGUGAAGCUUUUUCACAUUAUUGCAUUAUUCCUGAAAUGCACUCCAAGCAGGCAAACUGGCAAGCUACAGUGACAUACAUACACAUAUGUAGAUUUUGCAUGAGGUCUUAUAUGUGCAUUCACAUCUGCCUGUAUGGAAGCAGGUUGAGGUAGGUCUUUUAUAAAGUGAGAGAUGAAGGAAAAGUGCAGAAUUCAAAUGCUUACAAUGUUUUCAAGCCUUUGCAGAGAAGAAUGAGGUGAAUGGCUUCAAAGAAAAUUUUUCAUAUUUAGGCAUUACUGCAUCUUCAGUAGGUAUGAGUCCUCCUAAACAUGGAAGUUAUAGCCUCUCCCAGUAAGAUGUAUAGUGACUGUGUGAGAUGUAUGAUUUUCUUUCUGUGCAGUAGAGGCAACAGGCAGGGACUGACCUAUGAUCAGAAAAGUCCAAUAAAUUUUCCAGGAAUAUAUAUUCCAAAUGAUAAAAAAUUGAGUAAGAAAAGGAAACAGUCCAGUCAUUUUUCAUAAAUGUGUUGUUCAAAGACUUCCUCAUAAAAAAUCAAAUAUCUUUCUGGUACAGCAAAGAAAGGUAAAUAAGAUAUGCAUUCUGACACUUACACAGAAUAACAAGCAGGAAACAUGCUGUGGUCCUUGAAGAAGACAUAGAGUACAAAUAAAUAAAAGAAAAUACAGAAAAGGAAAGAAAAAAUUAAAGAAAAAAGAAGAAUGGGGAGGAACGUCAAUGAUAUGACCCGUGGCAUGAAUACAGUCUCUUUCUGUUAUUACAGCAAACAGAAAGAAGUUAGAAAUAGAAAUGCUUUCAAAUAAAGGCUAACAUGGGGGAAACAAUAAACUGAAGGGAAGACUUGCUCAUCUAAAAGACUAUCUAACAAAAUAACUUGGAAAUAACCUUCAUUGUUUUUUACUCAGGUUAGAGUAGAGUAGUUCACAUGGAGGAGAGAAGUCAAAGAUGAAUUGAAUUUGCUCAGGAACAAAAUUUCCACUCAUAAAAAUGGGAGCUUGUACUGGAAAGAAAAAAAAUAUAUGAAAUGCUGGGAAUGAUCUAGACCAAGUAGCAAAGAGUGAGAGUUCUGAAAACAAACCUAUCUUUGUUUCCUCCAUGUAAAGUUUGUUAAAAAAAAGAAAAAAAAAAAAAAAGAAAUGUUUAAGAUCUAGAAGUCUUCUGCAAAUGAUAUUAAAGGAGGCUAUUCUUAUAGAUCUAUAAAGCCAAAGGCUAAGUAAUGGUGGAAGAAAAGGAGAAAAGUUUAUUCUAACACCCUCCCAUGCUGAGCAAGAACACUGAAGACCAUAUCUUUUCAAAAGCAACAUUUGCUGAGACAGCAGGAUUUUUUUUUCCAGAAAUUAAAUUCUUCUUUGCCCCCAGUACAAAGCUGAAUAUUUUUUCUUGGAAGGCUAUUUCUGAGCCACAACCCCUAGACUGUUAGAAACCUUUUAAUUUCCAGCCUAAACUUACUCAUGAACAGUCUAUAUCUAUUUGUUUUUGUGCCAGCACUGUCCUUUUGUGUUAAUUGUACAUCUAUAUCAUGUAGCUAUUUGUAGGUUAUUUCGUAUUUCAAAAGAUAAUAUCAGUAUUUUUAAAAGAAAUCACCAGCUGAGAUUCUGAGGAUAAAAUUAGUUGUUGCAACAGCUGUUUGAUCAUAAAGUUAUUGUCUAAAAAGCUUAUGAACACAAUAAGAUGUGAUUUCACUUCACUUUAGGGGGAAAUAACAUGCUGUAUCUUUUUAUUACUUCUAUUUAUGACAUUCAGUAAUGAAAUAGAGUUAAAAUAAUUUUCAGGAAAACAGAACUUGAUUUAAGAAUAAAACAGACUAGAUGAAGUCUUUAUUCAUUCAUUAAAGGCAAGAGGCUAUUUUUCAACCUUUAUUCAAGAAACUUGAUGAAGUUUUCUUUUGGGUCUGGUUAAUUGUUUGGCUACAGUAUUUAUCAGUAUGACAACUGAUUGACAACUGCAUAACAACCAGCUACUUCAGAAGCAGAUUUGCACAAGUGGAUUUUUGAAGGAAGGAAAUUGAAAGUGUCAAGCUGAGAGAAUGAAGAGUGUCCAGGUCUAUGCAAACAUACUGUUGAGAUUAUACUGCUAGGUUGUAAGCCCUUCUGAGCAAUGAUAGUCCCUUUCCAGAUGCCUGUGAGCAUUACCUAUCUUUAAUGCAUUAGUAUAUAGAAAACAUACAUGUUUUCUCUCUUUCCUCUUCAAAGGAAAAAUGCAGAGUAAAUUUCAGUCUGUCAGAAUCUUUAGGAAACAUUACAGGGAUUUCCCUGCAGCACUUUCAUUUCUAUGCAGAACAAACUGAAGAGGUGCAAAGCAGUAUAUCAGAAAUUCUGUUUCUUGGUUGUAUGAAACUUCAGAUUUACCUUCCUAUUCUCAUUAUUAAUUACCUGCAAACCCUCCAAGAACACUUUCUGUGCCACAGCUGGACACUUUUUUCUCUACCCUCAUCUGCCAAAAGGUUGGUACUCUGUCAGAGAUGAGCUGGUGUCUCAUUUCUCUCUAUCCCUCUGUUUUUUCUCUUGCGCAUUCUGGCAGCGCAGGGCUCUUCUUUAUUAACCUUUUCCAACUGAAUAAGCCAGAACAACACAUGACUUCUGACCUGAAGCAAUACAGCCAAGUGAGUAGGCUGGCUAUCUAUUUGCACUGCCUUUCUACACGAGGUCCUUUUCCUCGGUAGACAUAAUGUACCAGAGAUGUAUUAGAGAUAAGGAUAAUGUGUCUGUCUGCCUGUUCUCCCUAUAGCUUUGGGAGACAAGCAGGAUGAAUAUGAGAGUGCAGUGGUAUGGGCCAAAUGCAAUGAGACUCCCACAAAUAUGGUGAGAUAAAAUGCUGUGGUGAGUAUUGCUGUUUGUAAUUCAGCUGAUCAUAAAUGUAAACAGGAUAUAGUAGCUGUAAGAAUAAAAUGAAUCUGAAGGUACUGGUAGCUACUCUGAAGCUUGUAUUAUUAACAAAAAUCAGAAGCAAAGCGUUCACUGAAGUCCUGGUUUUCAUGUACUUAUAUUUGGCAAUGUUAUUUUAAUCUCCUGACCUUGUUUUAUUUUUCUGUACUGUUUGUCUUCCCUGGAAAUGUUUAACUUGCUAGGUUAAAAUUAGCUUUGUGUUAUGGAGAUACUGUGCUAGGCUACUGGGAUUUUUCUCUCCAAACUAACCUGAUCUUUAUCAGUUAUUGCUCAACAUCUGCAUAGCUCUGUGUCUCUCUUACAUCUAAACAACUAUAUUUGGUAGCUUGCCAGCUGAUGGCAACAGUAACUUCAAAUAAAUUUGAGGAAAGUUUACAUCCCACUCAAUGCACUUUAUUCAAGGCAAUUUUUUUUCAAGUAUGCUAAGCCUUGUGGGCUUAAUCCUGCAGAUGCUAUUAAAUAGGCCCAACUGCUAAGGAGUUGCCUCUUUAAAGCAUUCUCUCCUUCAUGUCUGCGAGACUCCAAUACAUUCCACAGAGAGGCUGUUGACAUUCAUUUUCUACCAUUACUCCCACAGAACAUGUAAGUUCAAAAAAAAAAAAAAAAAAAAAAAGAAUAAACCUUUCCUGUAUGUUAACUCUGUAUCUUCCUAGCAGCAGAGGCAUGUAGAAAUAAUGACAAUUUUUAGCCUAAAUAAGCUGCUAAAAUACCUGCUCCACAUGGUAUUUCUUGUUUCUCCCCUGAAAUUGACAAAUGACAAAUUAAUUCCACCCCAUGGUAACUUAUGUAUAAAACUACUUUGGAAAUUAGCACAAAAGUACCUUUAUCUUCUGUGAAAACAUAUUCUGAGAAAUUUGUGAUGGCAUCUUAUUGGCACAGUAAUUAAGCAUGAUUGUUAUCUUCAUGAGCCCAUGGGAAAAAUCCACUUCUAAAGUGACCCUAAGUCUCGUGCCAUAUUUAGCUAGUCUUAGAAACAUCUCUGUAAAUUGACAAUUCAUUCUUCUAUUCAGGCUUUUAAUGUUACUAUUGGCACUAAAAGGUUAUUAUUUAGGGGGUAAACACACUAACAAUAAACAGUCUGAUUCUUUCUUGAUACACAGCUAUAGCACUUCAAUAGAAAUUAAGAAUAUUAAAGUUCAAAUGCUAACUCUUCUGAAGAAAAGUAGAAGUCUUACAUAGAUCAUCAUCUACAUGGAUGAACAUAUUGGAACCUUUGUAGUUCUGUAAGUUCCCCAUGGAGUGUGAGUUUAAUUCAAUUGUAUUCUGGAUAAUGAAGAGCAAUUUAAAUAAAAUACACAUAAGUUUAAUUAAUACAGACAAUAGAUUAUUUAAA